UACGUAGGCAGCAAGCGUUGUUCGGAAUUACUGGGCGUAAAGAGUGUGUAGGCGGUGCUCUAAGUUUGGUGUGAAAUCUCCCGGCUCAACCGGGAGGCUGCAUCGAAUACUGGAAUGCUAGAGGAUUGGAGAGGUAAGCGGAAUUCCUGGUGUAGCGGUGAAAUGCGUAGAUAUCAGGAGGAACACCUGUGGUGUAGACAGCUUACUGGACAAUUUCUGACGCUGAGACACGAAAGCGUGGGUAGCAAACAGGAUUAGAUACCCUGGUAGUCCACGCCCUAAACGAUGCAUACUUGGUGUGGGCCAUUCAUUUGGUCUGUGCCGGAGCUAACGCGUUAAGUAUGCCGCCUGGGGAGUACGGUCGCAAGGCUG
rnacentral:rRNA from 1 species